AAAAUAAUUACCUUAUUAGAUGAUUAACCAAUUAGGCGAGGAAGCCCUUCACAAAAAUAUUGGUACUUUAUUUUAACAUCUACUCUUUUUCAUAUAAGUUGGUUUUUAAGAUUAGAAUACAUAAUAAUUAGCCCAUAUAUAUUUAAGCAAAAAUAAUUGUAUGUAAUCAUUAUAUUGCAAUUUCUUAUGUAUUUUUAUUAAAUAAUAAUAUAAUUUGAAAAUAUUAAUGAAUUAAAUAUUGGAUUUUUGUACAUUUUUCGAAGAAGUGUAAAGCUUUUUUUUUUUUUUUUGACGAAAGAAGAAGUGCAAAGCUGAAACAACAAUUAGUUGAAAUUAAAAACGAUCCAGAAGUCCUAGCUCAACUGGCAAAAUGCCGAAAUUGUUAGGUCGGAUGCCAUGACUGGGGUUCGAACUCCGGUACCUCCACUUGUGUGUGUGAGUUUAUAAUGGCUUUGCCAUUUCGUCUAUCUACCAAAAAAAAAAAAAAAACGGAAUUUUUUAUAGAAAGUAUCAUUAAUUUUAUUUCCUCUGUGUCAAUUUUAUUUUUCAAUCAUUGUAUUUUUUAUUUUUUAUUUUUUACUGCACAUACCCCGAGAAAUAUUACUAAUUGAUCAAUAGCGUUGCAUCAGAACAAAAAAAUUGAUCAUUAGCUGCUUUUAUUUUUGGUCAAUGAUCAUUAGCUACUUUAUCUCCUAUAUAUGUGUUUCCACCGUAGUUUGUAUAUAAAGAAAAGAAAUAAUCCACUAUUUAUUGAUUUAGAGAAAUGAUAUUUGAACAACUAUUUUAUGAUAAUUUUUGUGUUAGUUUUUUCUUUCAUAUUUACAUUGUGAUUUUACUUUUUCUCACCAUUGUUUUGAUUUUUGUGUCAAUACUCAUAUUUCUUUGUGUAUUUAGGUUGUCCCAGGAGUUGUCAACAUAAUUGGUUGUUCAAAUAAUACUCUUCAACGAAGGAUGGAUUCGUAUUCACAAUUGCUCCACUUGUCAUCUGUAGUACGUGGGAGGUCACAUUGCUAUUUCAAAACAAAAAAAUAAAUAAAAAAAAGUAGCAAUACCCAAUCCUACAAAGAGUACAACCAAUUAAUUAGCAUAGUAUAUACGAUAAAUUUAGCUUGAGUUAGAUAAAAAUUGACUUUGAUAACCAAGCUUAAUGGCAACCUAGGAAAAAAAGAUAUAUAUCACAAAAAUGAACCGCAUGAAUAGUUUAACUGUAUACACAAUGAAAGAGUGGAGCCCAUGGAAGAGGAAAUGUCUAGGAACAGGUAGACAGUUAUAUCAGCCCUCGAUAUGUACCUAAUUCUUUGUUUAUUUAACACUCUCUUCACAACUCAACUCACAUGACCUUGUUGCACCAUUUUGCAAGCUAAGUAAGUACCCAUUUUUUCUUCUUUUAAUUUAUCUUAAAUUAGUUUAAAUUAUUUUUUAUUUUGCCCCUACCACGUUGGUUUCAUAAUUUCAUUCUUUCAUCACUUUCCUUUAACGCACUUCCAUGUAGAUGGUACGUACAGAGGACGAUGUGUAUCUGGCUAAUGGCUGACCAUAAAAAUUUACUAUUAAUUUCAUAAUUUCACUGAAAUCCAUGCAAGUUAAUUCUUCACUACUUCCCACCAAUUUGGGUCCUUGGCCACGAUGCACAAAACAAAGAAUUUCAUUGGGCCUUUGAGAUUGUUGCUAUAUGUAACUUUGGUCGUAAAAAUGGGUAUAAUGUUCACAUUUGUAUGCACUUUGUCUGUUAAAGCUCAAGUAACUAUAUCAAGUGAAAGUAAAAAAGUACAAAUAAAAAAUUACUUAAAUUCCCUUAUGUAUAGAAAGAAAAACUAGAAUCUCAUAAAUCAAAGAGUUUAUAGAAAUGAUGAUAGAGACUUUAGAGUGGUCACUUUUUUUGAUAAGGCAAAAAAUCAACACAAUGCUUCAUGAUUACCAAUUGACCAAAUUGUGUAUCAAGCAACCAUCUUUUGCUGCUAAUUUAUUGUAUAUAUGAACAGUUAUACAAAAUCACAUUGAAGCAAUCUAGGUUCCAUAUAUUAAUUUAUCAUGGCCCAUUGCUUUUUACCAAAAUUAUGAUCCGUCAUAAUUUGAAUAAAUUGAAGGAAAUAAAAACCUAUGAUACGUCAUUUUCUUCACUACAGAACUUGUAGUGUUGUUUUCUUUUAUGUACAAUUUUCUUUUCUUAUAAAUUGACACUUCUUAUUGGUUAUUAUAGAAUAAUGAUGUUUUCUCUCAAAUGUAACGUUAGCAGAUAGAUAAUUUUAAUCGAAAAAGUUAAAAAAAACUAUCAUAUUUAUCAAUAUUUCAAUGCAUUAUUAUUUACUAUGAUUUAAAUAUCUUUGUAGGUUAAAAAAUCAUUUACUACUGUUCAUAAGGUAGUACGUGUAUGUCAAUGUUUAGUUUUAAGAUUUCCUUCACACCGACAUAUUCAGAAAAUAUUCAUAAUUUAUUUAAGAACACAAAUUAUAUCCAUUGCCAUAAAAUGACUUUUACACCGUCAUCCGGUCAUAAUCAUCAAAUCUUUAUUAAAAUUUAGCUGUGUUUGUCGGUCAUAAUCGUCAAAUUAUUAAAAACGCUUAACUUUUUUUGCAAUAAGUUCUAAAGUCUCUCGCAUGAUUGAUUGUGUUGUGGUGACAUAUGUGUAAAAAAAAUUACACAGAUAGUUAUUGAAAGUCAAACUCUAUAUUCAAAAACAGAAAAAUACUUUUAUUUAUUCUUAUUUUCCAAAAUGAAAAAGAUUUUAAUUCUAAAUUUGCCAAAUUCAGCAAGGAAAUUAAUCAAAGAUUUGAUUCUACAACUGAAUAAACCUCUUAUCCCCUCACCAUAAUUCUACAUUAUCUUUUCCCCCUUUAAAGGAAAAAGCUCAAAUUCAAAAAAAAGCUACAAUUCAAAUUCAAAUUUUUUAUAAGACAAAAUUAGAGUGCCAAAGCAGAAAAUAGUUUAAAAUUUAAACUUAGAGAAGAAAUUAAUUUAAGAAACUGCACCCUAAAUUAAACUAUGCUACACUAGCACUCACUAGAUAACAUGUCUAAACUCUGGCCCACAAUGAUGAUGAUAAUUGAUGAAAUCAUCUCCACCGUUAGAUGAAACGCCGAAAAUUGAACUGUGACUCAGAAGCUGUUGAUGUUGAUGAUGAUGAUGAUGCUGUGAUGAUCUUUGCAUCUCUUUUUGUCUUCGAAGUUCCAAAACUUUCCUAUGAGAAUUCGAAUGCUUCGCCGAUACAAAAGUUGGACUCGCCGCUGGUCGAUACUCCGGCACCAACCUACCGGACUUAAACCUCACACCACAAGCAUUGCAUAGUGUUUUCGGUCCCAUCGGUCCUGUUCUCCACUGCGGCGUCUUAUCCGUGCCGCAGUGGAGACAUUUUCUUCCAGAACAUUCCACAUUCGGAUCCUCACGCUUCUUCACAAUUGGAUAAUUUUUGGGUGGCGCGUCGGGGAGAUGAAGUAGGCGCGUGGACCAGUCGCCAGGUGCAGCGCGUGAGCGUUUGCUACGUGCUUUUCCUGGUAGAGGUGUUUCUGGACGGAGAAAUGAAGCGUUACGAGCGGUUUCGUCAGUGGAAAAUGACGGAAGUGUGUCGGUGGAAGAUGAAGAUUCCGGUGUUUGCGGUUUAACCGCACCGGCGCCGGAGAGAAGUUGCAAUGUUUUCAAUUCUUCUUCAGCGGAGUAUGAAUCUUCCACGAAAUUCGAAAGCCAUUCCAGUUCCGCCAUAUCAUCAUACUGUGAAGAAAAUAUUCAAAUUCAGUUUCAUAAUUGAUGAAAUUAUUAAGAACUAAACUCGAAAUUGAACUUGAAUUAUCUUCAAUUACGGUUAAAUUAAGCUGAAUUAGUGACAUUAUUACUUACCGGAACACAGAGUUCACCGGUGAGUUGAACAUCACCGGAAAAACCAUAAGGAACAAUUGUGCCUCCAAAGCGGUUAUCACCACCAGAGCCAGACGAGUUACAGCUGUCAACAGCGGUGACAUUGGAAGAGUCGGUGGAAUUUCCGGCGACAUUGUUAUCGAAGAAACCGUCAGACAUAAUCACAUCAGCAUUUGAAAAAUCAAGUAAAUCAUCAAUGGCGAAAGGCUCACACGGUGGUUUCUGGUCACCGUGACGUUUCUCCGGCGAGAAUUGGUUUUCACCGGCACCGUAGUAGCCACCGACAAAGUAAUCUUGUGCUUCCAUUUCGUUCGUAAACGCGAAAUUGGUGUAGUUUUUUUUUUAAAGUCAGAGUAAAACGCAGCGUUUUGAGUUUGAGUGAAAGAGAGAAUUGAGGAAUGUGUGUUGAGACUUGAGAGAGAAGUGUGAGUGAAGGUGGGGUUUUGAGGAGUAAGACCAAUGGCAAAAUCGUAAAUAUUUACUCAAUGAAGCAUCUUUAUUCAUGUAUAUAGAUACAUAUGAUUAAUAAUAAUUUAAUACAGGAAGUGACUUGCAAGUUCUGUAAAGUUAAUUAAAACCAACUUUCAUUUUUUAUUUUUUCUUACUUUCUUUGGGAAUUCAGAUUUUCCUUUUCUUUUUUCAUCUUUUUUACUUUCUUAUAAUAUAUUUUAAUUAAUAACAAAACUCUUUAAGAUGAGUAGAAAUUAUUGUUGCUAUUGCUUCUGAAUUUGAAAUUUUCCUUUGUAAGGAUUGAAGAAGCUUGCAUGUGCGUACUCUUCCUCUUGUGAAAGUCACUUGAGGUAACGUCAACAAUGAGUUAUUAAAGUAUAUAUGACAAAUUAAUACUAGUGAAUAAUAUGCAUUGGGUUUUUUUCAAGUACUAUACAUCUUUUUUUUUUUUUUGGUAGUGUUAAGUACUAUACAUCUAACAUAUGCAUUGUUUUUUUUUCAAGUACUAUACAUUGUGUUAGAUAGAUCACAAAAAAAGCAUAGCACAAAAUAUAUUAAUAAUGAUAGAAUAAAAUGAAACACUAAAUAAAAAAAGAAAACUUGCACACAUUUAAGUGAAAAAUAUAUAAAAAAUAAUCUUAUCAAAUUUUGAAAGUAAAUAAAAAGAUUAAUAUUUUAAUUUAAUUUUUCCUAUUAAAUUAUUUUAUUUUUCCCUUUAUUUGUGUGUUAAAUGUUAUAAUUUCUAAUUAAAUUAACGCCAACAAUCUUGCAUGGAGAACUUUGAAUAAGCGGAUUCCGACCAACUUUGAAUAAGCGGAUUCCGACCAAAGAUAAUUUGACUUGUCAUAGGCCUGCCCAUUCAGGCUCUUUGCUGUGUUCUAGUGGUUGCGGGAAAAAGAAAUUUAUAGAUCAUUUGUUCUUGAAAUGUGACUUGAGCAUAUCUUAUGUGCUUCUGAUUGAUGUCUGAAAACAUGCAAUGCAAUUUGGUGGUUCUCUUUUGUUUAGGAGGGAUAUUUAUCAUUGUUUUUAGCUGAUAUGAUUAACUUGUCUCUAGGUCAUUUGGAACAAGAGAAACUCGUGUAUCUUUUACAAUAAAGAAUUACCUAUUUGAUCACUUAGCUUGCUUGAUAGAAUUAAGCUUCUUUUUUUAUAGUGGUUGAAGUCACAAUAAAUAAGUCAAUAACCAUCCUACAAAAUUGAAUGAAUGGAGAAAGUCUCAAUUGCAACUAAAUUUUUAAACCUGAAUACAUGUAUACUUUAUUUUGAAAUAUAUAAAUAAAUUUGUAAUCUGAAGAAGAGACAAUUGUUUCCUUAAUUUUUUUUUUUUUUUUUAGGGAAGACAAUUGUUUCCUUAUUGUAUAAGUGUCUUUGUGAUGAUUACAUUAUUUUUUUUCUUAACAAUUAAAUUUUUAUCAUUAUUUGAUUUGAUUUCUAUGUAAUAUAUACUCCACAUGUAAUCUGCCAAUAAAAAUUAUAAUCUAAAUUGAUUUUCCAAGUUAAUAAAACAGCACAAAACACUGACAUAUGUCACUACAAUUGUUUUGCUUAAGAUUCUUUAUCUUUGAAGAAUUUAUACGUUAGGAAAAUUGUUAAUAAUUACUAAAAGUUUUUUUGUAUGAAAAGUAAAAGAUGAACAGAGAAAAAAAAAAGGGGAUUAGUUGAUGCAAUGAAUAAUGAUCAUGUGAAGUGAACAGGAAUCAAAGUGUUAAGCAGUAGCACAAUGGUGGGCUGUCACUUAGAAAGAAAACAGCUAUGGCCACAGACACAUUCUACUUACUUUCCUUAACAUUUCAGUUUUUAGACACUAAAUUGUGUGUAAAUUAUUCCAUAAUUAAUCCUUAAUUAACAAUGAUUAAGAGAAGAUAAAUUUAAUGUUUCACAAAUUCAACUCAUCACAAAAAAAAAUUGAUCUCUUGCAGGUUUUGUCCCUGUGACUCUUCCAAUAGUGUCCAAGUUUACAGCCGGAUUCCUCUGCUGCUAAUAAUAUUAUUACUUUGGGAAAUGUGCAAAAAUUUAAUUUAUUUCAUUCAUUCUGAUUUAUUACAUUAAUUUAGUUCAAUUAAUUGUACUUUCUACCCCUCUUGCCUUAUCAUGGCAUGUUAUUAUAUUCAUCUUCUCACGUUUUAGCACGACGUUUACAGCUCAACUUAAUCCAUAAAUGGCUAUGAUCUCAUCCACGUGGCUAGUUAGUAAGAGUUUUACUUUAAUCUCACCUGCUACAGUGCUAAAAUAGUGGUGUUUCCAUCAUUACUAUUUUCUGUUUUUAACUCUAAUCAACCCUUGUUACAAUUUUAUAUCUAGCUAAUACUCUUGGUAGUGGUAAUCUAUUCUAUGGUAUAUUCUUUGUCUCUUUUCUUCAUCAUGAUUUAGGUCAUUUAGACGCGCUAUAAGAUUAAUCAUUAAGUAAGCUACACGACAUUUAUCUUAUUUUUCUUUUUGUUUGGGUUGGACCGUCUUCAAAUGCUACGUUUGAUUUUGCGGUUGGUCAUUGUAGUCGCACGUUUAGUGUUCCAUUUUUUGUGAAACAAGAAGCUAGUAAUAGUAGUUUUACAAAAGACGUGUGUCUACUAGGCUCUUUGAUGUGGAAACAAACAAAGAUAACUUUAAGAAAUGAAUCCAAGUUCCUUUAGUAAUUAACAUGAAGUUAUGUUACUAAAUCCCUCAAUAAUGUUUCUCAUGUAUACUCUUGUUAUCGAAUGGGAAAAUCGAAUUCUUAGAACAUUUGAUUUGUUGAUAUUAAAAUUAAAGAUAUUGCUAACAAAUGUCGUAAGAGUAUUGUUUAAGAAAUCCGCAGAAAGAAAGUAUGUCUUGAAAUUACAAAUCAAAUACAUGUAAAAAUUACUACUUUUGAAUACUUAAACAUUAUCCUAAAAAUACUUGUUAGUAUUUUUCUAUAAUUAACAGUAAGUGUAUUUGAACAACUAAGAGAAUCUGUUUUCACUUAUGAUUAAUUUUAUCAUUUGUACUACUAUAUAUGAGUUUGUUUAGAUCGACCUUCUGAAUUUUUCUAUUGCUACAAACAUUUGUAAAACUGUUUAAGAGAAUUUAAAAAGUUUACGAUAUGUUCAAGAUAGUUUUCGAAAACAACUAAUCCAUGCACAUUUUGUACAUUGAGUGUUGUAUAUAAUAUGUUGUUUCAAAAAAAAAAAAAAAACAUAUAAAUAUAAAAUAACAAUUUGAUUUUGUUUUACCUUUUGUUAUAGAACUAUUAUUUUUUUAUAAAUUUUAUAUCAAAAGCGCUUAUGAUAUAAUCACUUAAGUGAGUUGUUUAUCCAAAUUAAAUAGUGACUAUAUCAUGCAUUUGGAAGAAUCUUGUAUGUAGAAUUAAUAACGUUGAGGUUAAUCUAAAGAAAUAAAUAUAAGGUUUUGCUGAGAUAUAGGACAAACUAGACUGAUAAACCUUCAUAUUAUGUGAUUAUAUUACCGUUCAUGUGACUAAUGAAGCUUAAUUUUUGCAAACGAAAUGAUUGAUUGUUUGGGUUCUUGAGAGUUGUAUAUAUAUUUAUACCGACUUUCAGCAAGUUCAAGAACAUUUUGAUGUAAAAUCAUGUGGCUGCUGGUGACAGAGCAAGCAUUUUGUUUAAUCUUAUAGUAUUUUAUUAUGCAUACAUACACAGAAUAGAAUAAGAUAAAACAAAAAUGAGUAAUGAUAGCAACAUUUUUUUUAACAUUCUCUCUAACAUUCAUUUUUUUAUUGAUUUAAAUUAGUGUAGGUCUACACUUUGAAAAUUAAAUUCACACAAAGUGAUGAGACAUGCAUUGAUUUUAUCUAAUAAAAAAGUAAAUGCUAAAGAAAAUAUUGAAAAGUGGGUGUUGCUAGCUUUCGUAACAAAAAUUGAGUAUGAUGGAUUGGGCCGGUUCAUGCUAUUCUGAUCCCAAGGUUAAUGAACCCCCAGUAACUAGUGGAUAAGGUUUCCUUACAAACAAUUAUUACCACCACAAUUUUUAUAUAAUAUUUCCUUUUUCAAUACUUCUUAAAAAAUUAUCUAAAAAAGUGUUACUUGUAAUUUUUAAUGUAAUUUUAGUUGAAUACUUUUUUUUCAAUAUACAUUUUUGAGAAGUGUAAGAAAACUCUUUUCAGCACUACUUCUUCUAGUAUUCUAGUUUAGUGAGUUAAAUUUAUACAAAUUACGUCACUGUAUUCAUUUUUAAAGAAUGCGACAUAUAUAAGUUUUAUCUAAUAAAAGAGUUUUAGAAAGAGCAAUGAUAGUAAUAUAUCGGUCACUUUAUAUUUUUAUUUUUUACUAUACAUCUGCGAUAAUGAAAAUACAUCAAUGACAAACAUAGAUGAUUCAGUAAAAUCAUAAUUCUUUGUUUCAUUUAUAAUUUUUUUUUAAUUAAUGUAAGAUGAUCAACUGUGAUAGUUAUUGUUAGACAGAGAAAGUAGUAAUUUAUCUGUCUAAAAUACAUUUCUUUUUAAUUAGUGUAAUAUAUAUUUCUUUUUUGUCAAAUAAUUUAAUGGCUAAAAAUUCACCAUUUUAAUAUAAAUAAGUGAAGAGUUUGAGGUUCGAACUUCAACUCAUAUAUAUAUUAUACGAUAUUUUUAUCAAUUGAGUUAUGUCGACGAAAUAUUUAUAUUACAUUUCUAGUUGUAUGACUUUUGAUUGGUGUUCAGUUUCACGCAUUUUAAGUAAAAAAAAAGUAAAAAAAAUAUUUUAUUUCAAGAGUAGGAAAAAAAAACUCGGUGGUUGUUUACUUAUAUAAAUAAAAAAUAAAUGUAUGUGGAACUGUGGGAGUGGUUUCUCUUUAUUAGUAGUGUGUGAUUUUUCAAUUAAAAAAAUAGUAAGUUGCAGAGAGAGCAUGCGAGAAAGGAAGAAGGGUGUGUGUUUGUGUCAGCUAUCAUGUGAGUGUGCGUUAAUUGUGUGAAGCUUGGUUCAAAAGAGAAACUAUAUUUAGAAUUUGGGUUUUCUAAACUAAAGUAAAUGGAUUGUUUUAGAGCAAAAGAUAAGUAUUUUAGGGCUAUUAAAUAAUAAACUUUUUAAAGGGUAUUUUACAGCAAAAAAUAAAUAAAUUUAAAGUUGUAUAUACACACACUAUAUGCACAUAAACUUGUAUUAUUAGUUUUUUUAUGUUGUUGAUUAUAGUAUCAUCCGCUCGCUCUGAUAUUAAGUUUCACGUUUAAAAUUAGGAUGGAAAUGAGUCCGGUUGAAUCAAAUUUGAUUUAUUUCAACUCUGAUUCAAUAAAAAUUAGUUUAAUUUAAAACUAGAGUUUGUUGUAAUUUUUUUUAAUUCGAACUCGACUCAAACUUGUUGUGAUUAUAUGUGUGUGCGCACAUAAUUAUUAUUUUUUGAACAGGGCGCACACAUAAUUAUUAUAUUCGUGAAUUUGACCAAAUUGAUUUUUCCUUAGUUAUGAUAUGAUAAUUAACUAAGUUGGACCAAAUAAUUUUUUAUUGUAAACUGAGUACCAUCCGCGCGUAAUUGCGAAUACUAAUCUUUCGAGUAUUAUGUGACUUAAAUAGACGACAAGCUCUCCCUAAGAGUUUUAACGUUAUUGCAUGUCUAAGACUGGAUUCAAACCCAGAACCUUACUUAAGCUAGAAGAAAUCUAUGUCAUCUCAUCUAAACCCUCUUGGAUCGGGACCACAUAAUUUACACUAGACUUAAUGAGAAAAAUUUAACGGACCAUUUGUGUUCCUUCAACUUUAAAAUCAAUUCUCAACUAACCAACGACCAUAUAAUUUUAUUAUAUAUAUAUAGACACACAUACAUAUAAUAGCUCGCUGAUCACCUUAAAAGACAGUAUAUAAUAUGUGACGGAUGUAUUAGAUGUAUUAAUUAAGUUAGACUAAUUAGUUGUUCUCGUUUGUUGAAUAUUUAUUUUGAGCACAAGUUCACCAUAAGGCAAAAUCCUAAAUUGGAGGGGUUUUUAUGGUUCGUUGCUUCCUCCACACGUGCGUACUCAUCCCUCAUGUCAUGUCCUAUUGCUAACAUGGUACCACAUGCACCGUACGCAACGAAUUAUAAACGCAUCAAUGAAACAUGUGUUAAUAUGGAUUCCUGUUCCUUCUGAGAAUAUGUAUUCUUUUUCAUUCAUAUUUUUGGACCACACAAUCUAGGCCCAGGGCCGUCCAUAUAAAAUUAGAGGCUCGGCUCUAACAUUAAAAAUAGACCUCUCAUAAAAUAAAAACACAAUUUUUUAAAAGAGCAGCCUCUAUUCAUACUGGAAAUAAGAUAUUAAAAAAAAAUAAAAAAAAUUAAAGUAGAAAAAGGAGAUCCUAAAAAUAUUAAAUUAAUAAAAGAAGCAAAAUAGAGGUUAUGGGUGUUGAACCAUGGACAUCACGCAUGCUAAAGCAAGCAUAAACCACGACGCUACAUCUACAAAGUCUAAAUUUAUGACGCAUUUUUUAUAUAUAUUUACUUCUACGGGCAGCAUAUUUAAAAAAAAAAAAAAAAAUUGGGCCCCAAAAUUUAGGAGGCCCAGCUCAAUAGAGCUGUUUGCACCCCCUCAUGGCCGGCCUUGUCUAGGCCCUCAUGGUUUUAGAAUUGAGAUUAGAGUUCUGCUCUUCACUCUGCACAUUUUGCUCGCGCCCUGCACUUUUUUUAAAUAUAAUCCUGUGUGAGUUAACUCACGCAGCGAGACUUAACUCACGCACCUCACAAGUUCUGCGUAACUUAGGUCACGCACCACUGAGCCUAUGCGCGAGUUAACUUGCGCAAGUUGACCGGUGGUAAAAACUGAAGCACAAAUGUUUCUUGGGCGAUAGCCAAUGAUUUUGAUUGGAUUUUACACGUUUUUCUUAAGUUUUUCACACGUUUUUGGACCUCAUUAAGUGCCAUAUACCUUAUACCACCUAUAAAAACCCUCACAUACCUCCUCUUUUCCUCACAUUUUCUCCUCCCACACUCUCCCCCUCUUUCUCUUCUUCUUCUUUGCUUCUUUAGUUUCUAGGCUUUUUUAUACGCCUUUAGGUAAAUACCGGUGGCUUUUUGGUGAAAUAGUGGUCCGUUAAGUUGGGGAAAAAGACAUCAUCCCUUGAGAUAAAUGAAUAUUGAAUAAAUAAAAUCGUUUUUAUUUUCUAAUUUUGCAUUUAAUGAAUAAAUAAAUUAGAAUGAAAAUUGAAUUAGUAUAAAAUCGAAUUUAUUUUAAGUGCAUAAAUAAUUUAGAAUAAAAUAAAAUAAAAUAGAAUAUAUAUAUAUAUAUAUAUAUAUAUAUAUAUAUAUAUAUAUAUAUAUAUAUUUAGACUUUGCGCCAUAUUGACUAAAUAAAAUAAUUUAUUGAAUCAUAUUGAAUAAAUAAAAUAUUUUCGACUUUGCAUCAUAUUGAAUAAAUAAAUAAAAAGUAGGCACUUUGCGCCACUUGACAUGCGCAACGCUACUUAACUUGCGCACAAGUUUAUAUUUGCGCUAGUUAACUAACACAAGGGCAUUUUAGGCAUGGCUGUAGGGUGCGAGCGAAAUGUGCGGGAUGAAGAGCAUAAUACUUGAGAUUAUCUACAUCCUAGCUCAUAUGUCCUGCCCAAUGGGCUAAUUGAUGUUCUACUGAGACCAAAUUCAGAAAACUAUAGCAUAAUGUGGUAUUAAUUGCUUAAUAUUAAUUGGAGUUCAUUUUUAGUCCCACUACCUUAGAAUAAGGCGUGAAAAGAACAUGGUGCAAUAUGGCUAAUUAAAAACUACUAAGAAAUAUGUUGUUACAUUAGCAAAUCUCGUGGGGGAAGAAGCUGAAAGUUGCAAUUUGGUUUAAGGGUUUUGUUACUUAAAAAUCAUAAUUGGUAAGACUCAAUCUUAUGUGCUCUUCUUCACUUAGGGCUUUGGGAAGCAGGGAUACAAUAUAUAUUAUUGCUUUCUGUUUAACUAUAUUAUUGCUCUUAAUUAGUUUAUUAAGUUAGUUUAAUUAAAUUGAUGUAUAUUACAGUACGAAACCAAGUUUAGGUUUGUAGGGUUGUAUGUCUCACGAGGCUUAGGUUUGAGUCAACUUGAUGUAGAUGUAGUGUGGCUUUGGAUUUUGUUGUAUUUUAAUGGCAAAAUGGAGCAUGCAAUCAUGUUUGUUAAGUUGUUUAAUUGUACAAUAGUUACUUCAGGUUUUUUUUUUUUUUUUUUAAAAAUAUGUCAUCUAAGUCUUAUUAUGUACAUAUAUAUACACAAUUACCAUUUUUCAUACAUUUUGUUACAAAAAUGCAUAUAGGUGUACGUUACGUUGAUUAUUAUGUUACUGGCGUGGUAUAAACUGAGUUUGUAACUUAUUCUUUGUAUACUUCUUAGUUCUUUCUCAUCUCUUAUGGGUUCCUAAUAUUCAUUUUAGAACGAUUUGAGACAAAUAUUUUGUAUAAGAGAAUUGUGUGUUACGGAGUGUAUUGUUAGCAUAAUUUUUUUCAAUAAUAAGAAGUUGUAGUCUAUCCACAUUUGUAAAUUUUAAAUAAAUUUGAAACUCAGGGAAUGGUUUUGAUGUGCAGAUCUUAUCCGGCUCUUUGCAGUUGCACUUAAGUAUCAUUCAAACCAAAAUCACAUCUGCUCUUUAUCAAACCAUUCAAACUUCCAUCGUUGUUUUAUUCUUCGUACUUCAAGUUCUCAUGGUUGAUUUUCUAUCUUUAUGUUUUCAUAUAUUUCAAUCCCUUGGGUUUUCCGAUAUGCUCUCUGGUCACCGCAUGUUGUUGUUGUUGUUGUUGUUUUGUUUCACUCCCUUGUUAAUUACUUUCUAUUUCAAAGAGUGACACCUUAUAUGUUCGAAUUUGUUAAGAGAAAUAGUACAAGAUGCAAGAGUGACGAUUCAAUUAGACGUGUGAAAAAAUAAAUCCUUGUUGAACUCGAUUGAUUAUUUUAGACAAACCGAUCAAUCGAAUCGAACCAAACUGAAUAUCAUAGGUUUAGUUUGGCUCGGUCCCCACCAAUCCGAAAAGACAAAAUUUAAACUCCUACCUUCCCUGUUUAAAGAAAGCAAGACCAAGACAUCAUUUUUAUGUUAUUUAACACCUCCAACAAGUUUGUUACCUUCCCAUUAAAUAAAAUUGUGUUUCUAUAUAACCAAAUGCUCCACGUUUUUUUGAGGAAUCAAAUGCUCCACUUAAUUGCCUACUAAAUUAAAUGGGACAGUAAUUUUUCACUUUUUUUCCUUUCACCAGACCAUUAAAACUCCAAAAGGUUCACCACCACUUCACUAUUGCCAAAGACAGUGGACAAGUGAAAAACAAAUGAUUAUAAGUUUUCUCUUUAUAAAAACACAAUACACAACAUUGUUGAAGAGGGUCUCUUACACAUAAUUGCCACAAUUGCAUCCGAGUAUGAACCCUCCCAUAAAACUGGGCAUGAGGCAUGUAUUCACCUUUGUUUCUAUCCAAAAAUAUUCACCUUUGAUGGGCAUGAGGCAGCCCGUAGCCACUGCAUUGCAGUCCUAAAACUGUUGUCAAGGACAACUCCAAUUUGCGAGCCUUUGUAGCCAUUUCCUAAUCCCCUUCGCGUAGCUUGAGAGAACCAAUUAUGCUCAAAUUCAUGCGCUUUUCCGAUAAGCAUCGUGUCAUUUAAGAAAUUUGUGUGGAAUGUGCUUAUUAGAUACUACUAUUAAAAAAUUGGCUUAAUUACUCUUUUGGUCCCUUAACUUAUUUUUUAGUUUCGUUUUGAUCCCUUAACUAUUAAAAGUUUCGUUUUGGUCCCUUAACUUACUUUUUGAUUUCGUUUUGGUCCCUUAACUAUUAAAAGUUUCGUUUUGGUCCCUUAACUUAUUUUUUGGUUUCAUUUUGGUCCCUUAACUCUUUCUCCGACAACCACUUUGGUCCUUUAUGUUAGGAUGAAUGUAUUACAGUUAAGGACCAAAACGAAAUCAAAAAAUAAGUUAAGUGACCAAAACGAAAACAAAAAAUAAGUUACGGGACCAAAACGAAACUUUUAAUAGUUAAGGGACCAAAACGAAACCAAAAAAUAAGUUAAGGGACCAAAACGAAACUUUUAAUAGUUAAGGGACCAAAACGAAACCAAAAAAUAAGUUAAGGGACCAAAAGAGUAAUUAAGCCUAAAAAAUUAUAAAUGAGUGAUGUGUACACUUGAGACCCAUUUAAGUAUCCAAAAAUAGGUGUCUCAAUUGUGGAUGCUCUUAGGGCUCGUUUCGAUUAGGUUUAUUUUGAAUUAAUGCAAUACAACUUAUGCAAAUAAAUAAACUUUUAUGUUAAUUUAUAAAUUUUCACUAACAAAAUUUAUGUCUACAUAAACCGAUUUUUUCAUAAACUACAUUUAUAAACUUAUGAAUAAUACAUAAAGACUUAUUUAUUUCCCUAAACUGUUUUGCAUAAACUUAAAAUAAGCCUGAUCCAAAGUGACGGAUUGCGCCUGUCAAUAAUUAUUUCGUCCAAGUUGAGUAAUUCAUCCACUACUGGCCCAUAUCUGUAAUAUAUCAAUUCCCACCAAAUAGAAUUGGUGUAUGUAUGUGACACAUCUUCGCCUUGACGUUCAUAAUAACGUGGCCAAAUUGAACAACUCCACAUUUUUACUUCCUAAACCUUUCUCCUCCGUUGGAAAACAUACCUUCUCCCAUGACACUCAAUGAAUCUUUAUAUUGUCUUUAUCACUUCCCACAAGAAACUUUGAAUUUGAGCGAUUUCACUUAAAGUCUUUAGCACUUCUGAUUUUCCAGCUUUCAGCAACACUUAAUGGUGACAGUUUUGGUCCUUUGGCAACACUACUCUUGAGGAUUUUAUCAACCUUAUAGACGAAUAUCCUGCUAGGAUACACAUUUCUUCUCCGUUAUGAAUGAUAACAGGAUGUGACAGAACAACUCAAAUUUAUCACAAAGAUGUUAGAAGAUGUAAUCCAGAAACUCAACAUAUAAAAAUAAAUUGAAAAAGUAUGUAUGUGUGUAUACCGUGUCUCUUUGUUUUCUGUGAUGGCAAUCACUAUUUAUUGUACUUCAUCCGUCUCUUAAUAAGUGACACAGUUGACCCAAUUACGCAUAUCAAUGUGUAAUUUUGAGUUUAAAUAUUUUGAAUAAUAUAUUGGAAAAAAUUAUGAAAAUUUGAUACUUUGAAAAUACUCAUCGAGACGAAUCUAAAGACAUCUUAUAUGAUAUUAUUUAUCUUUGUAUAUUAGUAGAAAAAUAUGAUCAAAGUAAGUUAGAUCAAAAUUGCACAUUUUCAAACAAGUCAUUUAUUGCGGGACGCAGGGAGUAGUAAGUACGUGUAAAGAAAAAAUGAAGGAUUUUUUCAAGGAAAUAGGCAUAAUAAUAGGAAAUGUGAUUUAAGCCUUUGACCAAAUGUCAAACAUCAAUUGUUACAAAACUAAAUAUAAAAUAAAUUUGGCAAAUAAGGUUUUGACUAAGUAAAUAUCACAUGGUUAAAUCAACAAAAAUAAUGAACAACUUUUAAUAACCUCUGAAAUAUAAUAUCAACUUAAAAAUACAACAUUUUUACAUUAAAGAAAGCCUCCAAUCUCAUAAAUCCAAUCUUGAUCAUCAAGAAUUCAACAAAUGCAUUCUCUCUAUUUUGGGCCAAAUUUUUGCCUUAGUGAAUUUUUUUAAGGGUUUUGCUAAAUAUAUCAUAUAAUACACAAAAACUAAUAUUACGAAGUAACAUUAGUAAAAAUAAUAAAUUAUAUUUGAAACUUAUGAAAUUAACAAAAAUAUAUAUUAAUAAAAUAUCUCAUACUAAUAAUAAAAUAAAUAAGGAUUAAAAUUUAAAUAUGUUUUUUGUUUAAUUUUUAAUAAUAAAUUUGAAGUUAGUUUCAAUAUUGCGAGAGAUUUUCACAAAAGAAAGUUCAAAAAUUCAAUAAAAAUUUGGUUUUGGGUGAAAGCAAUUUGAUUUUACUUUGAAUCAGUUUGGAUAAGAAUACUCUUACUCAACAUUAAUUCUACAAUUUCCUCCAAAACUGCAGGUAUUUGAUUCCGACUAUUUCUUAAAAACUACUUAUAUUCAUUAUUUAAUUUUGUUUGGUAAACUAAAAAUAGAUCAAAAUAAUAUAACCUAUUGUUUUUGUGGCUCUUGAAUUCACUUUUAACUGAUUUUUUUUAAUAUUGUAACUAGAUACACAAGAACCCACUCAUAAGAAUCGACAACCCUUCGUCGCCUCUGUCCCCCUACCUCCCUUAUCCAUAGUCCCAACACGAUGUAGCAUUGAUGGUGGUGAUGCUCACAAUCCUUCACAACGACACCACCUCUAAACCCCUCUUGAGGUAGCAAACCCUGGGAAUUUCUCUGGUUGUUUGAUAGAUAUGGGUUUUGGUUUGGAUCGUGUUUUAUUCGUCGUAGUCAAUUUGAGUCUCUUAGAUCUUGGUUUCUGCUCAAACCUUGCAUGGGCUGCCAAAAUUUCCACUAGCAAAUUCAUGUCCCCGACAUGUUCUGUGUUACUAUUCGUCUCUUUGAUAUUCUGCUCAUGUUGUGUUUCUCGUUGAAUUGUGAAUAGAAAGGUGGUUCAAUGUUUCUUUGAUAUUCUUAUUUUUGUAAAAUCAAAUGAAAAAUGAUUAUUUUAUUUUUUUGCAGGACCAGAAGGUCCUAGUCUUAUUGGAUUCAUCAUGCAUUUCGCAAAGUCCAAAAAUACUUUCCAUAUAAGUUACAACAUUGUGUUGUAAUCCAAGGAGUGUUAUUGGUUACAAUAAAUGCUCAUGAGCAUUUUGGCUUAGGUUUAGCAAAAGCAGUAUAGCAUUCCUGAAAUACGUAAACCACACAACACAUGCUUUUGCCAAAUUUCAUGAAAUUCUAUGCCGAAAAUGAAUUAUAAACAUGUUUAAUUCAAAUCGCAUGUGAUUGCCAUUUUCUAUGCUAAAUGACCACCAACAAAAAUACUCCCUCCGUAUUUUACUACGAAUUUUUUUGACAUUUUCAUAAUAAUUAAGUAAUAUAUGUAAUUUUGUAUUAGAAAAAAAAUUAUAAGUGAAUGUGUAACUCAAUGGAUGUGUGAUAUAUUUUGUAAUCAUCCUAAAAUUUAGACAAAGUAUUGUUUGUCUUUACAUAACUAUUUUGUAAAGUGGUAAGUGUCUCUUAAUUACAAUUUUUUUUUCAAGUCACAAUACAUCAAACGUAGAAUUCACGACAGUAGCUUAAAUUUAUACUUUAUUCUAAUCUAUAAAAAAACUUUUUUCACAAUUUCCAGAUUGUGUGUGCAUAUUACGGCUAUCUAAAGAAUGAUUGUUUUAAGUUCUGUAGGGAAUACCCUUAGCCAUCGCGAUGAAUAGAAUAAAAAUGUUCUUAUUAUCUGUCAAAACCACUAUGUAAUCACCAACAUAGUUUAAUUUUAAUGAAAUACUCAAUUAUUUAAUUUUAAUAUGAUCUAGUGAGUUUAUUGGAUCUUUCUGGUGACAGAUUCCAAUAAUAGCCCACAUUGGUUCUAGCUUAAUGGACUUAUGGACUUAGGUCGGAAACGAUUAAAUUUUCUCUCUUUUUGUUUUCUUUCAAAUUAGAUAAUUUAUUUUCCCACCCGGCUCAUAUCUCGUGCGCCCUUUAAAUUUUCUAUUUUGUCUCGUUCGAAUUUUAUGAUUUAAACAUGCUCAGAAUAUAGAAAAAAUACACCAUUAAAGCACAACAAUUUCAACAAAAUAAUUUAACAACGACAAUUUCAACAAAAUGAAACAACAAUAAAAAUUUCAUUAACAUAAUUAAACACAAAUAAGAUCAUGGAUCAACCAAACUAAAUUCUUCAUAAGAUCUAUCAAUGCAAGCUCUGAUUUCUUCGUAAGUCUUGGGCCGUAUAACACUUUCCUAAAUAUCAUAAAACAAUCUCACCAAAGAAGCGUCUAUAACUCACUCGGUUGCUUCGAACUAUACUGAUCAAAUAACGAAAACAUGGUUCUCAAAUUGUCAUCAUUUUAUAGCUUCAUUUGGAUGGACUAAACACGCCCAUCUGAAUAGACAAAAGACAGUACUCAACAUUGUCCAUAUUUCUUGUGUCGGUGUGGUUGAGUUGAUGAAAGACUAUAUUCAACAUUGUCCACAUUUUUUUUGAGUAGAACCUUUCAAGAGUCAUCCAAUGUUAGAUUUUUUUAUUUUGGGGUGUGAGAUAAAAGUUUUAGGGCAAAAGAUAUACUGUUGAAAUGAGAAAAGUCAUCAGAUUUUAAGUUAUAUAUGGACCUCCAAUAAUAUAUUAAGGGCUUGCCAUCCCUCAAUAAAGGCUUGCUGACCCUUCAGGGACCGCCUUUGGUAUUAGAAGGUGUAAAUCGCCUUUCCCAGAUUCUAGAAACUUCUAGAACGCGCACCUGCUGUCUUGGGGUCUAAGUUACUUAGGGCCCAAUACACAAAAAUAUAAGCCCAAAAGAGGCUAUAAAUACUCUUCUUGAGAGCAUUCUCAAGCAUAACCUAAUGAGAUUAAGCUCUAGUUUCUUAAUCUUACUUAGCAGGUACAUUAUAUAAAAAGGGUUCAAAUUUUACAAUCCGAAACAUAUUUUGAUUUAUAUAAUCCGACGAAUGGUAUAUCUGGAAAGAAAAAGAACAGGACAUGUGAGGAUCAAAUGAGAAAAGUAAUAGUCAACGUUAACAUAGUUUUUAAUUUAUAUACAUCGUCGAUGUAAAAAAAAAAUUACACACUCAUCCAAUGAUGUAUCAUCGCAUCAUUUAAUGAUUUUUUUUAACAAGCGAAAAUGAAUUAUAUUAAUACCAAAGGAGAAUCAGCUUUAGCACAAGGCGUGUCAAAAGCAACCUCAAAAGUACACACCAUAGUCACCUCACAAUCAAAGCAAACAAAACUAGAUUAGCCAAUACUCAAACAAACAAUCGAGUUCGACCACCAAAUAUGAAAGCUUAAACCAAAAUUAACGUGAGUAGCCAUCAUCCACCAAAAAGAAUGUAACUUAACUUUAUAUAACAAUUGGUGUAUGAAGCUUUCCUUAUGCUUAAACAAUAUGUUAUUUCUCUUAUUCUACAUAACCCAAGCACAAGAUAACCAAAUAAGGUUCAUGAAGGAACGACGCACUUGCAACCCACCUAAUGAAUGAACAAACUGAACAAAGUGGUCAUGUACACUACUAAAAAAACAAAAAUUAGUGAGGGAAAUUUUGUGAGGGAAAACGUGAAAUUCCUCUCUAAUUCCGUCACUAAAUUUUGCGACCAUGGAAUUUGUGAGGAAUUUCAUUUUUUCCGUCACUAAUUUCCCUCGCUAAUUUUGCUUUUUCUAGUAGUGGUAUGUGAUAUCGAUUAGUUUUAAAGACAUCAAUCCACUCCCGAACUAAAUUCCAAAGAGAAGCAAAAAAUAGUGCAGGAUAGAAAGAAAUGUUGUGGCGUCUCUACCCCACCACAACCACUCUCACACAACCGAGCGUCAUGAGGUAUUAUGCCACGAGCAACCAAAUUAUCCUUUGUCGACAGUCAUGAGGUAUUAUGCCAAAUGAAAUAUGAAGUUGCGUUUGUUGUAUGAACUUCCUGAGAAGUCUGCAACUCAUACACACUCUGAACCGAAUAAUCGUCGUCAGGAUGGAGCUUCCAUUGCCAACCGUCUGAAUAAUUAGUCUGCAAAGUAAUAUCAUAAAGUAAAGUCAUUCACUCCCCUAACAUCUCCUCCUCUCACGCCCACAACCGCCACCACCACUGCCAAGCCACCCCUCCUUCCUCCCAUCCCAAAUCGCACAUCUCCGACACGGUAAUUCGACUUACACAAUGGUUUCCCUCCUAACCAUGGACCUGUCCAGAAAAAAGUAUAUCUCCCAUACCAACCUUCCUCCCAAUACACUCCUCAAACCACCCUCCACCGUCAACAUCUUCCCCAUCAUGGAUUUUCGCUACCUCCCUCCACCGAGAAGAAACACUCCGGUCCCCAACCUCCAACCUCCCAUUCUCCUUGCCAUAACGAGCUUUCAACACCCUAUAUCACAGUUCCCCCUCUAUCGACCAACAUCCUCAAACACUAUUUUUCCAACAAAGCAAAUUUAAACUCCCUCCACAUCAUUUAAUUAAUUAAAAAUGCAUGUUUGAUCAUACCUUAUUAAUUGAUUUGACAACUAGAUGAAUAUGUAACUGAACAUUGUAUGUAAUUAAACAUAUUAAACGGUUGGCCCCUAAAUCUUUUUACGAGCUUCUUUUUCUACCUCUACUGUAUUUUGCACGAGUAAUUAUUUUACGAAAAGAAAUUGUAUUUUUUUGUCCUUCGGAUGGAUAAGUCUGGAAAACACCAUUUUUUCGUCUAUAAAUGUGCUUCCAUGCGACAUAUUUUUUGUAUAUUUUUUAAGAAAUCAUGGGAGGUAAAAGUAGCUCUCAUAUCUUUCUUUUGAAAAGAGAAAUAGAAAAGUGAAAAUUAAUGAUCAUGGAAAACGGGACAUAGUGCCACAUCAACCCUUAAUAGUUUCAUAUUUUUCCCUUAAAAAAAGUUUCAUAUUAGAGAAUCACAUUUAAAAUGUGAGGUUUAUAAGUGCUACUCAAUUCUUGCAUGAAAUAGACUAUUCUGUUGAGUUUAUCAUAGGAGUCAUGCUAAUGAAGUGUUACAAAUGUCACAUGUUAAAAACUUCUAUUAGACAACCAUUUAUUUAACUCUAAAAAAUUGUUUUUUUUUUAAACAGCCAAUUUUAUCGAAUCGAGUCGGCAUAAGACACACCAAACAAGAUCAAAGGGAAACAAUUACAAGGGGUCGUAUAUAUGUGCAACACCAACCUAAAAAACCGUUCUUUAUAUAUAUGAGGAACCUCUACCCAAAAGUUGAAUAAUACACCAUUUUUCAACAUAAUUUCUAUAUUUGUUACUAUUUUAACUAGUGAUUGUCAUGUAUGCACAAUUCAGUUGAUAGUUGCUAGAACAAUAUUAUGUCAGAGUUCGAAUCCGAGACUCCACACUUUUCUACGAUUAAAACAUGUAAGUUCUAGUCAUUAUGUUAUUCGAGAAAAAGACAAAAGCUAGUGCUCUCUAAGACAAUUCUAUAGCAUUCUACUUAUUAUAAAUACUUAGUCAUGUUGCCUCAAAAGAAAAAAUGUAUAUCAUCCUAAUACGGAUAUACCAUUCUUAUCCAUCUUUCAUCAUUUUUUUUUAAAAAUAUCCAUUUUUAGUUUAAUACUAUUUCUAUUUAUAAAAGAAUUUAAAACAUGCUACCAUCUGUCUUCUUUUUUGCCCUAAAAAUAAAGUUGUCUUCUUUUGCACACAACAGUUCAUGUAACUAAUGUUUAAAAUUGGAGAAACGCAUGCAAAAGAAUGAUGAUUAUGUUCUAGAUCGAGGCACGCAAACGAAAGACUUUUGUGCAUUUUAAGACUCUGUUCCGCGCAUUAUCUUCCUUCAAAGCCCUUCCAUUUCCCAUAUUUUACUGUUCUUUUUUCCCAUCCUCUCUUUCUUUCUUUCUUUCUUUCUUUAUCUCUAUCCUUCCCUUAUAUUGCUCCAUAUUUUGCUUAUAUACUCCACAACCACAAGACACAAGCCUCUCCCACUUUAGCUAAAUGGCUAUGUUGUCACGAAAAGCUUUCAAUGCUUAGGAUUAUGUUUUGUUUUUUUAGUGAACAACAUAUCAAUCAAUAUAUAGUAGUACUAGGUAAUAUUGGUAACAACCCUAAUCAUUUUUUUGUCCAAAAACAAAUCAAUAUAUUUGACUUAAACUAGUAUUUGGAUUGAAAAUUCAUAUAUGCUUAGGGUCAUGUUUUAUUUUUUUGGUGAAAAAAUAUUAACAUGUAGUACUAGCUAGGUAGGUAGUAUUGGUAACAACCUAAUAAUUUUUUUGUCAAAAACAAAUCAAUAUAUUUCACUUUAAUUGUGAAUUUUCAAUUAACAAUUAAAAAUAAUUUUUUUAAGGUACACCUCUUAACUUUGAAAAUUUGGAUAACCAUAACCUUCUUCUCAUUUCUUAUAGUGCUAAAAGAAAUGAGGAACCAUUAUCUCGCAUUGUCGCCUACUCUUAGCAUCUCAAAUCAACUAUACAUUUUCGUUAAUAAGGUUGUUCAUAAUGUAACUUGAACUUCAAUGUUAGAGACUAGUCGCCAAGUCUUUUAUUAUAUUCAAAAUUGUACUACUUCUCUCAUUUUCAAAGAAAUGAAGUAACCCUAAUUUUUCCUAAACAAAUUGAUAAAUGUACAAAUAUGUGGUAAUUAAAUUAAUCUUAGCUCAAAUAAAGUUAACUUUAAUAGAAUUUUUAUCAAGAAAGGAUAAACUUUGAGGAGAAACUUUUCAGUUACAAAAAGACCAAAUACACUUCCUUGGCUGCAUACUUGGAUUCACUUUUAGAGGAGUGAUAAACAAAUAUAGAAUCACCAAAUUAAUUCUGAAUACACUAUAGUAUUUCAAUUUUUUACCCUAACUUUAGUUUCAAAUUUAUUGGUUAACUUACAUUUUAAGAAACAAAGAGAAUAUUAUUGAUAUAAACACACAAAAAGUACAAAGAGUACAAGCAAACAGUCUGUGAAAAGUAAAAACACCACCAAAAGCCUCAAUCUUCAAAGCAACUACUCUUGCUCAUGAGACAACUUAAACUAGACAAGUUUCACUUCCUGAACACACUUCAGUCACACUUCAAAUACGGAUUAAGCUUGCUUUGUUCUCCAAUGUCGUUGUUAUUAAUUAUAUAUCCCCUCAAAAAAUAUAUUCCUUCAAUGCUAAAAAAUAUUUAAAGUUUAUUUUUGUGUGUAUCAGAGAAAUGUUCAAUCACUGCAAGUAUAAAGUUAUUUUUGGGAGUGGAUGUAUGCAUCUCGUGUAGGUACUUUUCAAAAAGUACUAUUCUUAGAUAAUUUUGUUGCUAAAAAGAGUAAUGCUCAAAGUAAUUUUCAUGCAAAAGAAAAUCUUAACCUGAAUUAGUACUUUUCCAACUCACAUUAGUACUUUUUUGUUACAGCUCCAACUCACAUUAAAAAUAGGUUUAAUAGAGCUUUAUCCCCCUGUAAUAUAGGUCAUUUUCAGGUUUACCUCAUGUAAAAUUUUGUUUUGGUUUUCGUCCUUGUAAUUAUUUUUUUUUCCAGAAUAUCCCUCUAAUAGGGCAUUUUCAGAAUUUUUUUUCGAGAAAUUUUAGUUUUUGAAUGACCUAUGACUAUUAAGGGGUAUUUUGGAAAAAAAUAAUUUUACAAAGACGAAAACCAAAACAAAUUUUUUACAGGGGACAAAACCUGAAAAUGACCUAUAUUACAGGGGGUAAAACACUAUUAACCCUUAAAAAUAUCAAAACAAUGAAUACUUUCACUUCACUCACAUUCAACUAAAAUUAAUUUACUCAAAUUAACUUACUUGCUACCAAACACCUAAACACAACUAAUAAAAGUUUGAAUUCAAUAGGUAAAAAGUUGACCAGUAUAUUAGAUUAUGGAUUCAACUCCCGUUGUUAAUGUAUUUUUUGUGUGGAUGAUCUCUAUAGAUCUUUGUAAGUAUUUUGUGUUUCGAGGCCUACUUUUGCCCUCUGAGCCCAAAACCUAAACACAAAUCACUUCAAAUCUUAAGGUUUUAGGUUCGAACCCCACUAGUGUCUUUGAAAAGUUCGAAGACUUCCAUGUCUUAAAAGUCCAAAGUUUAUAUCCAAUCAUGGGAAUAUAACAUCGUUAAGUUUCUUAAUGGAAAUCUUCACUCAUUAUAAUCUUAUUCAACAUAUAUAAGAUAAAUCUAAACAAUUGCGUGUGAGUCAAGAUCUUAUCCAUUUAUUAAUUUUUCUAUUUCUUUUAUUUGAAGAAAUAAAAACACAAAAAAUUUGAAAAUAGUGAGAAUCACUUAAUAAUUGGAUUCACUACUUUUUUGUUAUAUUUAUCUUUCAUCAAAUAAUAUUAUCAAUUUAUUUUUAGCAAAUAGGAAAGAUCUUAACUCAUUACGUUGAAGAUAUAUUUAGUUGGCAUUAAAGAAAGCAAUUAUAAUAGGUAGACAAAACGACAAAGAUGAGAAUAUAAUCUAAAUCCAGGCAAGUAAAUAAUAAAUAUGGGAAACCGCGCCGCUAGAUAAGGCUAUUUUGGUCCAACCAAUAUCUUCUCUUUUUCUUCUACUUUUCUCUGUUCCGCACUUUCAUUUCAUUUUCUUUCUUAAAAUAUUUCUCAACUUCACCUACACACAACAGUAACUUAGGGUUUCUUCAAUGAAGAUCGAUCCAACGACACCGUUUCUCAGAUUCAAAAAACUCUAACUCAUCACCCUCAAACAAUUAACUAGAUUUGGAUUUGUGCUGUGUUUGGAUUUGAUUAGAAGAAAAUAAGCUGCUAAAGCUACUAUGGCCUGCAAGGAUGGUAAUAAGCACUUAAUGGAUAAUGGAAAGUAUGUACGUUAUACACCUGAGCAGGUUGAAGCUCUUGAAAGGCUUUAUCAUGAAUGUCCUAAACCAAGUUCAAUUCGAAGACAACAACUUAUUAGAGAAUGUCCUAUUCUUUCUAAUAUUGAACCAAGACAAAUCAAAGUUUGGUUUCAGAAUAGAAGGUAAUAAACUUCAUUCUUGUUGUUUAAUGCAACCUUUUUAGUUUAUGUUUGAUUCUGGAGAAGCUAGAAUUGAUUUUGACAUGUUUGGUUGGUCUCGAGUAUAAUUGAUUUAAUUUUAACUUCAAGUUAGGAUUUGUAGUUUCUAGAGUCGAAACGUAAUUUUUACAUUGAAAUUUAUUGUUUAACUUACUUUUAGAUAGAGAUAUCCAAAUAUUAAUAACUUUACCAUUCAACAAAUCAAUUUUAAAAAAUUGAUUUAUUUAAAUUGAUUUUUGGUUCGGGCUGGCAAAAUUUGAUUUUGAGUGAAUUGAUUUUGUAAAAUUGAUUGUGGCUAAAAGUGAACUGAAUCUGAAGUGAUUUGAACAAUAAAUUUGAGUGUAAAAAUUAAUUCUAAAAUAAAAAGCUCAAUUUUCUAGCUUCAAGUUAGAACCAAUUUUGGUGGCCGAAUCAAUUCUACAUUUUACACCUCUGGAAUCAAUUUUGGCUUGUUUAAAAGUGGAACCAAACAUACAUUUACGAUAAUUUAAUAAUAUAAAUAAAUUUAUAAAAAUGGUAUUAUUUUUUUUCCUUUGGUUGUGUGUUUUAACUGCAUUAUUUUGUUUGAGAAUUGUUAGUUUUUUUAUUAUGUUUUUGGUUGUCAUUAAUUUGUUUUGGUGUUAUGUUGAGGUUAUGUUUUGUUUUUGUUGUGAAUUUAGGUGUAGAGAGAAGCAGAGAAAAGAGUCUUUCAGGUUGCAAGGUGUGAAUAGGAAGUUGACAGCCAUGAAUAAGCUGCUGAUGGAGGAAAAUGAUAGGUUGCAGAAGCAGGUGUCUCACCUGGUGUAUGAGAAUGGCUAUUUUCGUCAAAACACCCAAAAUGUAAGUUUAUGUUGUUGUUGUUGAGAUUCUUGAUAGUCUGUUUAGUUUUUUCAAUUAGGGAGGAACUUUUCCUAUGUAGAACUGACAUGGACAUGACGCUGACACGUCGAUAUCAGUAAUAAUAUGAGAAAAUUUCAUAAUUGAAUGUAAUCACAUGUCCGUGUCGUGUUGGACACUAACAUGCGUCGGACACAGGACACACUUUCAAUUAGAAGUGUCGGUGCCGGAGAGAACUUUUCCCUCCCCUAAAGCACUUGGGAAGUACACAUUUGGAAAAAUACAGUUUUAAUAUUGUCUGGACGUGUGUUUUCGAACAAAAACACAGUUUUUCCCAUUUGGAUGUGUAUUUUUGGAUUCUUUGACUGUUUUUUAGAAAUGUGAGCCUAAUGACACUAUUGUGAAUGAAAGUGAUAUUUGUGAAAUUUAAAUCUUUGUCUUGUGCUUAAUUGUUCUUCUACCCUUACUUUCUUUGCAUACUCAGGCAACCAAAGACACGAGUUGUGAUUCAGUGGUGACUAGUGGUCAGCACAAUAUGACUAGUCAACAUCCCCCAAGGGAUGCAAGUCCUGCAGGGUGAGUGCGAUUGAUGGAUACUUGGUCCCUUUCUGACAUUGGUUUGUGAUAACUUGUUUGUGUACAUAUGGCUAAUGGAAUCCUGGUUUCUCUUUUUCUUUUACUUUUUUCAGGCUUUUGUCCAUUGCAGAAGAAACUUUAGCAGAAUUUCUUUCAAAGGCUACUGGAACCGCUGUUGAGUGGGUCCAAAUGCCUGGAAUGAAGGUAUCUCAAGAAUUAUUUCAUUGGUUGACCCAUUAGUUAUUAGUUACAUUAUUUAAUAAAACAAACUGGUAAAAAAACUGUAAAUCGUCAUCUUGGGAUAACUUAUCAUCCAAUGUUCCAAUAAUCUUCUUUAAUUUUGAUAAUCUUCAUUAGCAUUUAUGUUUGAGUAAUUUAAUUUUUUUAAAAAUACGUUCCUGUUGUUAAUUUUGCUGAUGUGGACAGCCUGGUCCGGAUUCCAUUGGAAUCGUCGCUAUUUCUCAUGGUUGCACUGGUGUCGCAGCAAGAGCUUGUGGUCUAGUGGGACUAGAACCCACUAGGGUAAGUGGUCCAGAUUUGCAAUCUCUAUUAUUGAAUAUCUUACUUGAGUUUAUGAAUCAUGUGGUCAAACAUACACUUUCCAGGUUGCGGAAAUCCUAAAAGAUCGUCCUUUGUGGUUUCGUGAUUGCCGAGCUGUUGAUAUUGUCAAUGUGCUGCCCACUGCUAACGGUGGAACUAUUGAGCUGCUUUAUAUGCAGGUAAAAAACAUUUUAUAAUGCAUGGAUGAAGAUUCUAGAUAUUGAUGAUUGACACUCAAUAACUUGUGUGCUUAUUGUUGCUUUUGAUGACCAGCUUUAUGCACCAACCACAUUGGCACCUGCUCGUGAUUUCUGGUUGUUACGCUACACUUCUGUUGUAGAAGAUGGCAGCCUAGUGGCAAGUGGCUCUAAAAUUCUUAGCCUAAAUUUGUAAUUGAUUAGAUAUUGUAGUUAAUAAUUGACAUUCCUUGUGCAAUGACCCAGUCCUACUGUUAUAUUUUGUAGUCCUACAACACAUAUGUCUAAAUCAUUGUUUAUGUGUGCCUUAGAUCUGUGAGAGGUCUCUUAAAAAUACUCAAAAUGGUCCAAGCAUGCCUCCUGUGCCGCAUUUUGUUAGAGCAGACAUGCUGCCUAGUGGGUACCUGAUAAGACCUUGUGAAGGAGGUGGUUCCAUCAUCCACAUUGUUGAUCAUAUGGACUUGGAGGUACAUUUAUUCAACUUGGUUCUAAUAAUAAUAAUAAUAAUAUUUUUUAACUUGACAUUAACUUGAGCAUCUUGCUACUAUUGAUAGCCAUGGAGCGUUCCAGAAGUACUGCGUCCACUAUAUGAAUCACCAAUGGUGCUGGCUCAGAAGACUACUAUGGCGGUAUGGUUGUUGUAUUUCUUUUACUGAUGGUACACCGGCAUAUAUGCGUUUGUUCUGCUGUUCCUUUUUAAGUCCAGAUUAGAAAAGAUGUUGUCAACUUAAUAGUAACAAUAAUAUUGACUAGUGUGGUUGAAAGGACUAUGACAUAAUUAAUUCUUUCUCUUUUUCAUACAGGCUUUACGUCAUCUAAGGCAGAUUUCGCAUGAAGUUUCUCAGCCCAAUGUCACUGGGUGGGGAAGACGACCAGCAGCUCUGCGGGCACUUAGCCAGAGAUUGAGCCGGUUAGUAUCUUUUGCCAAGGGGGUAUGAUUUUUGUUCUUACACUUCACAAAUAAAUGUGGAAUCUGACAUCUUCUUUGCAGGGGUUUCAAUGAGGCACUCAAUGGAUUUACUGAUGAAGGGUGGACAAUGAUGGGCAAUGACGGUGUUGAUGAUGUCACUAUUCUAGUAAAUUCAUCACCUGACAAGUUAAUGGGUCUGAAUCUUUCCUUUGGCAAUGGAUUUCCUUCUGUCAGUAAUGCUGUGUUAUGUGCCAAGGCAUCAAUGCUAUUACAGGUCAGGAUGCUUAGCAAUUUCGAUGAAUUUCUUUAUAAUGAUAAAUUACAAUAUGUUUCUUAAAACUUUUUUUCGACAAUUACUCAUGUCAAUCAAGCUCAUGACUAUUACUAUGUUAAACAUCCAUUGCAUAACGUGUACUGUCUGGCCUUUUCUUUGCGUAGUAGUUAAGCACGUGUUCUAUUAAGUAAUCAUAUAAUUUAAAUGAUUGUUAAUAGAGACUUCCAAAUGCCUAGGCAAAACAUGGCUCAGAGGGGUACUUAUAGGGACUUGUUUGAUCGCCCAUUUUCUAAUCAAUUGGUAGUAAACAUGCCUAUUUGUUGUAUCCAUAUUAUUUCUGUCCUUUGCCUGUCCUGCUGUACCCCUAUGAAAAGUAUGGGCCAGAGGAAUUGUUAAGUUACACAAAAUUGUAUGAGUUGCAUUGCACAUAUCCAGUGGUUCAUGUUAAGUUCUAUAUUGACACAUUUCAUUUCUUUUUGUCCAGAAUGUGCCUCCAGCCAUUCUCCUAAGGUUCCUGCGUGAACAUAGAUCAGAAUGGGCGGACCAUAAUAUGGAUGCUUACACAGCUGCUGCCAUUAAAGUUGGCCCUUGCAGCUUAACAGGAUCUCGCGUAGGAAAUUACGGGGGUCAAGUGAUUCUCCCGCUAGCACACACUAUUGAGCAUGAGGAGGUGAUAUAUUGGUGCUAAUUAUGCAUUAUAACUACUAUUAAUUUUAUCAUUCCGUAUGACUAACUUUUGGCUUAAUUAUGCUAGUUUUUGGAAGUUAUUAAGUUGGACGGAGUUGCCCAUUCUCCUGAAGAAAUGAUGGCCAGAGAAUUGUUUCUGUUGCAAGUAAUUAUUUUUCUUCCUCAUAUUGUUUGCUCCAUGCUUAACCUUCUUUUACCUGGUUUCCUUGUCGUUUUGAUUUGUACUCCUAACACUUUCAUAGUUACAUCACAUUUUCUAGAGAUCUUAAGGUUCAUAUUUAUUCACCCUGUAAUUGUGCUGUCUAUAUGUUUUGAACUAAUUAAGGACUUAAAUUAUUGUACAUUAUUAUAAUACUUGAAAAUUAGGAAUGAAUAAGAGAAUUUAGGUGUGGUCUCCUCGUCCUGUUUAUGUGAUGCUAUUUCUUCUCUUUACCUGUGUCUGAAAACAACAUCGCCAAUGUCAAUAUAGCUAGCUAGUUUUACUCGGUAUCUUUUGAACUCCCGCUUCCAUUAGAAUGGGGAAGCAUUCUGUUUUAAUGUGAUGAUUCCUAAGACAUAUUUGGUUGUGAUAUUCUUACAUAUAACUCACUCUAUGUUGUUUUGGUAGCUCUGCAGUGGAAUGGAUGAGAAUGCUAUUGGCACCUGUGCAGAACUUAUAUUUGCUCCAAUUGAUGCUUCAUUUGCUGAUGAUGCCCCACUUCUACCCUCUGGGUUUCGUAUCAUCCCUCUUGAAUCUGGAAAAGUUAGUUUCAUAUAUUGCCAAACUAGUUUAUUUGUUUGUAUUCACCUUUCCUCUAGAAUUUUCUUAAUUAUAGCAAUGAUAUAUUUUAUAGGAAUCGUCCAGUCCUAAUCGCACUCUUGAUCUUGCAUCUGCCCUUGACAUUGGCCCUACUGGAAACCGAGCAUCAAGUGAUAAUGCUGGAAAUUCUGGCUGUGUGAGAUCUGUGAUGACAAUAGCAUUUGAAUUUGCAUAUGAAAGUCAUAUGCAAGAGAAUGUAGCAUGCAUGGCACGCCAAUAUGUUCGCAGUAUUAUAUCAUCAGUCCAAAGGGUAGCGUUAGCACUUUCUCCUUCUAAUCUGAGUUCACAUGCUGGGCUGAGGUCACCGCUAGGUACCCCUGAAGCACAAACCCUUGCUCAUUGGAUCUGCAACAGUUAUAGGUACGUGUCUUGCCGAGGCUGGUUAAAUAUACUUAAUUAUGAUACAAGUGGGCUUGUCCUGAAUAACCUUAUUAUAUACGGAAACCUUUACUUUUCAAGAUUUAACAAGGAUGAGAUGACAACUAAACUUAAUAUACUAUCUCAUUCACGAAAGACACUGCAGCUCUGUCAAUGAUAGGUUUGGUGAGUUGUAUACAUAGAGUGGGAUAUUCUUUUUUCCAUACUGUCCUUAUCCUCUGACCUUCCAACCUUUUGAAUAAUUGAAAAUUCCAAAAUAGUUUUGCUAGCGGCGAAGCUGAGUUCUGUAAAUAGAUGCAUAUCAUAACCCCAAGUUCUGGUGUAGUUUUGCAGUUGAAAAUUUCCAACUAGUUGACGGUCUUGCAAAUCUCUUAUUUUUUAACUUCUUAUCAAAUACUUUUUGACAAAGAUUGAAUGAAAUGCUUCCAUUUAGUAUUCAAUAUCUUAGCAUGCACUACAUUAAUGGUUGCUUUUCAUAAAUUCUGUGUUUUGCUAGUGGGCUUGUUCCUUCUUACUUGUAAAUUUUAUUGCUGAACAACUGUAAAAAAGUAUUGUAUUUAAUGCUCAUUUAAUAGGCAGAAACUGGUACAUUGAUCACAGUGCUGUUUUUUGAUUAUCUUUGUUUUGCAGAUGCUACUUAGGCGUGGAGCUACUUAAAUCUAAUACUGAAGGAAAAGAAUCUGUACUCAAGUCCUUGUGGCACCACUCUGAUGCUGUAUUAUGCUGCACUCUAAAGGUAUGCUUCAAAUUGAUUUCUAUUUCAUAGGACGUGCAUUUUAUCUCAUGUAUCUCCUGUCUGCAGUGCAAUUUAUUUGUCUAAUGCAAAAAUAUAUUAAAAAAUUAGUUGAACUAUAAAAUUGGGGAUGUCAAAAUGAGCUAUAAAGCCUGAAAAGGCUGAAUUUGAAUAUUAUUUUCUCUGAAGUUUACUUAGGUUUUAUUGUAUUUUGCCUCAAGCCUUCAACUAUAGAUCCUUAGGAUCUUUACCUGUCAGUUUUGAAAACCUUAUUAUUCUUGUUCAAACCAUACGAGUUGAAAUAUCAAUGAAAUACUCUAGUUGUUUAUGUUAAAAAAAGAAAUUCAACUAGAACUAUUAUUAUAAUCUUCUACCUUCUUUGAAUUAAGCAGGCAAUGCCAGUGUUCACUUUCUCAAACCAGGCAGGGCUUGACAUGCUGGAGACUACGCUUGUUGCAUUACAAGAUAUAAGUCUGGAGAAAAUAUUUGAUGAUAAUGGUCGAAAAACUCUCUUUUCGGAGUUCCCCCAGAUUAUUCAACAGGUCUACAAUUUUUUAUUUAUUAAAAUGCACCGUUUUUUUUUUUAUUUUUUAUUUUAAAUCUAGUUUCCUUCUGAAUUGGCGGUAUGCUUUCAGUAGACCAUCAUUUUCAGGCUUUAUAAUGCUCUUUAUUAAUUUCGCCUCGUUCUCUUAUGAUAGGGUUUUGCAUGUCUGCAAGGUGGUAUUUGUCUCUCAAGCAUGGGACGACCUGUCUCAUACGAGAGAGCUGUUGCUUGGAAGGUGCUGAAUGAUGAACAGAAUGCUCAUUGUAUUUGCUUUAUGUUUGUGAACUGGUCUUUUGUUUGACAUUAUGUUCGGAGUUAUAGGUAUCAGUGUGUUAAGAUGAAGACUUACUCCAAGACAUUUAUGCUGUAUUGUUUUUGUUUUUGCUUUUGUACUUUCCCUGAAUUUGCUCUGAAGACUUGGAUUUGCAUAUGCUAUGACUAUUUGUGUUAGCCUAUGUUGCUUUUAUUCCUUCUUUAUUCUCCAGCUAAUAUUUUGUGCUGGAAAUAAUUUGCACAUCGGGUGUGUGAUAAAUUUUUAUCGAUGCUUUGACACAAAUUUUUGGGGAUUAAAAUUGGCUUAUCAUCGUUACAUCCCAAUUCACUAUGUAUGCAAAUAUGUCACGACUCGUGGUGACCUCGAGAUGAUUUCUUUCUAUACUCUUUGGCUGAGAUGAUUUCUUUCUAUACACUUCGGCUACGUGCAAUUUACCAUUAUAGAAAGUACAUGUUUCAUGUUUAACUUAACUUUGAAAUCAUGAACGUGAUUGCGCCAAGAUCUAAUAAAUGGGAUUUCCCACGUCUUUCUUAAGGUAUAUACACAAUUUCUGUCAUGGUUAAAGAUGAUAUGGCCUCAUUGCUCAACAACUAUAAUCUCAGCAUCACUUAGGGUGAAAAAAAUCAGCGUAAAUAGGAACAAAAUCAGCCUUUGAGGUACCUAUUCCUAUUCCACUGAUUUUUUUUUUUGUCUGCUCAAUAUUGGAUAGUGAUGUCUAAAUAGGAAGUAACGAGUGCUCAAGUAAUGAUUCCACUGCUUUUUUAAAAUGUGGGAAUAUAUGGCUUGUAUUGUUUCCUUCUAAUCUUUAGGACAACUUGUAAUUAAAGCACAUUAUCAAUAAAUUGUUUAGCUUAUCAAAAUAUUAUUAUGUGCUUGUGGAUAGAUGCUUGUCUUCGUCAUAUGAACAAAUCGAUAACGGCUUAAUCAUCAUUCACAUAUUCAUUGCAACUACCUUCAACAACUUUCCUUCCUCUUUUUUCAUGAUUCAUUAAGCUCCUCGUGAACUGAAAGUACAAGUAUGUGGAGGAAAGCUCUAUACUUAGCAAGUUCAUUCCCUUCUUUUGCGUGUAAAUAACUUCACCACAAAAGAAGAAAGUGGAGGAUGGGUUUUAGCCACUUCUAUUCUAAAAAAAGAAAGAAGAAAGCAUAGGGAAAGUAUAUACAUUUCACCAUGCAUGUGAGUACCUAUACGUUGUGGUCAGUUGGUAUUGGACCACAUAAAAUCGAUUGCAAAAAGAAGGAACUUCUUAUUAGUGGAAAAAGAAAUUUUUUCAUUAAAUGAAUGAAUAUAAAGAGGGCUCAUCAUAAUUCUAUCCAAAAUGGGACUGUUUCAAAAUAUUUUUUUUUCUUGAAAUUUUUAACAAUGAUACGUAAUGAAAGGAACUUUAAAACUUUGUACAAUGAUACGUAAAGAAAGGAACUUUAAAAUUUGUACCAUUCAAAAGAAAAAGAAAAGAACUAAUUUAAAAUAAAAUUUUGGCUCUCAUUUUAUGAAACUUACAAAAUCCAAUGCGUCAACCAAUUCCUCAACUUCAAGACACUAGUAGUAAGUAGCUUAAGCCAUGGGAGGUUUUUUUCCAAUGCCACACGAGAGUAAAAGUAACUCUGUCGAAGCAUAUGUUUAAUUUCAAUUUUGAAAGGUCAAAAGUGAUUUCGGAGAUUGUAGUAUUGAUUUUACAAUGUUUGGAUGAUUUAAAAGAAAAUUGAUUUUGCUUAUAGAAACUAGAAUUUGUACCUUUAUCUUCCACAAUUUACUUUAUCCUUACUUUUUUUUUUUACAAAAACUUAAAUUUAUUGUUAAAUUCACUUGUACAUAAAUACAUCCAAACAUUAAUCACUUUAUAUUCUAAUUGGCGGGUUUCGAACCUAGGAUACACUACUUAUUCAUCUUAAUAUACGAAUUUUUAUCUAUUAGGUUACUUGAUCAAUAAAAAUAAAAUUUUUUUUAGGUCAUUAUGAUCCUCAUUUCUAAAAAACAAAAUUGCAAGAAUUUUCAUAUCAUGAAUAAUAUUAGGAUUUGAAUUAAUCACCGAAGUGUUAAAACUCUUGUUGGUAAUUGAAAAUAAAAAGGCUAGCAGUAUCGGGUACAGUGAUUUGUUGUUGUUGUAAUAUUUGGGCACAUUCAAAUUCUUAUUCUUACCCAAAGUAGGAGUGAUUUUUCAUGUUUUGUCAACGCCACGUACAUUCAUCUAAUUCUUCAAUAGUGUAAGCUUGUUGAACUUUAUAAAUACCUAGGUAAACCUUUAUUUUUAGUUAAUGGCAAAAAUAUAUAAAUAUACCUAGCUAAACCUGUAAAUAAAUUUGCGGAUAUAAUUGAAUAUAUCUUCAAUAGAUAUAAGGUAUUACAUAGGUCAUCAUGCAUGUCAAGUCAAGCUUCCUAAUAGACAUAUUAGACCUUAAAAAAAUUGCAUUGAUCAUAUGAAGAAAUCAUACUCAAAUGUUAUAAUUCACCAUGACUUAAAAGUUAUAUAACUCUAACUGAACCAGACCUCAAACGUUUAAUUCACCAUGACCUAUCAUUCAUUUUAGUUUACAUAUUUUAUGUAGUCAAUUUCAAGCUAUAUGUAUGUAUAAUAUAUGUAGGUAUGAUCAUCUACUAGAACAAGGGGAAAACAUUCAAAAAAUGUAAAGAAAAUAUAUAUAGAGUAGGAAAAAGUGGCACAUCUCGUUAUUAUAAUUACACCAUUAUCAGCCAUGGAAAGAAAUCAUGCACGUAGAUGAACCAUUGGUUUCACGUGUUUUUUUACUUUUUUUCUUCGAGACAAAACUAUUCCAACCAUGAAAGUUCACUUUAGAAGUAAAACAAUUAUGUAAUAAAAAAAAGCCACAAUCUUUCAAUUUCAGAUUGGAUAAACAUUUAUUUCAAAUUUCUAAAAGCUUCACUAGUCAUUGCUUCUCAUUAAAUCUUUCUCGAAAAAUCUAGUUAGUUCACGACUUGGAAGAUGACAUUUGAGUUUCUAAGAUCCAUACACUUUCUUCCAAUGUUAUAUGCCAAAGUAUUAUAAAUAGGGUUAUCCUUUCCUUGAAAAGUUAUAAGUCUCUUUUCAAAUAGCCUCAUUAUUUAAUCCAACACAAAAACCAUACUUUUCUACAAUCAAGUUCAAUAUAUUUCUUAUCAUGAUUAUGGCACCUCAUGGAGAAUCUUUGUUGUCAAGUUCAUUCUCAAGGAACAACAAUACCACAUCAAACAAACCAACAAAGCUUUCAACUUCCGACCACCUUCAAAGAACGGUCUCCGAUAUUUCCUUCGAGCUGAUGGCGAAAGAAGCAAUUGACAAUUUAAAACUACCAUCGAUAUCCGAAGUUGAAGAUGCAAAGUGCGAGUGUUGUGGCAUGUCUGAAGAGUGCACACCCGAGUACAUAGAUCGUAUUCGCAACAAGUUCAAAGGGAAAUUUGUGUGCGGUUUGUGUUCGGAGGCGGUGAAAGAAGAGUUGGAGAAAAAUGGUGGGAAAAAAUUAGAAGAAGCAUUAAACACACAUAUGAAUGCAUGUGUUAAGUUUAACAAAUAUGGUAGGGCUUUUCCAGUUUUGUUUCAAGCACAAGCUAUGAAAGAAAUGUUGAAAAAGAGUAACAUGGAUGGGAAAAUUAGGGCUAAGUCAAUUAGUCCAAGGGACAAGAAUGGAGGAGGAGGGCUUGCUCGUAGUUCAAGUUGUAUUCCAGCACUUACAAGAGAGAUCAACAAUAUCAAAAUAGCCAAUUAACUAUCUAUCUCUUUGAGCACGAAAUCUUUAUACUAUAGUUAAUUAUAAUGUUACUAUAAGUAUAAAGCUAGUUUUUCUUUUACAUAGACCUUGUUACAAGCUAGUUGCCUAAGGUUUUUUUAGGGUAUUAUUGACCCUUUUACUUCUCAAGGCUGCUUAGUUUUUUUUUGGUCUGUGCAGUUUUUAUUUUAUAACUUCAUGAAAUGUACCGUAGAUCUUACCAAUCAUAUGUUAUGGAAUAAAAUUUCACUUGGUGUACUGAUAUCAUGUGAUAAUUAUCAUGUCAAUUUUUUCUCCGAUAUUAAUUUUAUUUUCAACAAGUCAAAAUGAAAUAUAUUAACACGAGAGAAAAUAUCAUAUCCAGAACAAAGUGUACCAGAAUAGAAUACGAAAGUCUUACAAAAGCAAUAAAUUGAACAAGACCAAAAAGUAAAAUUACCCAAUGCCCAAACAAAAAAAAAUACUAAGCCAUCAACUAUAGUAUUAAAAUAAAUAUGAGCAAAUUUGGCCUUCAACCACAGUAAGAAAGUAGCUUAAUUUUGUAAAGAAGGUGUUUAUUGGAACUUUCUUUAUUAUUAAAAAUAAUGUCAUCCGAAAUUUUGAAACACCUUUGUAUUGACAUCCAUCUUAUGUAGCUUCAAAAUUAUAAAAGAAAACUAAUAUCAUGACUGUCCUAAUAUAGUCUUUCGAUUAAACUAAAUAGAAUUUCUUUUUUCAACAAAUUCUUAAUAACACUAAAAGCCCAAGCUGUCAAACUGAACAAAAUGAUCUCGUAUUAUGUAUUAUCAAAAACAAGAAACUAAGCUUGUUUUUGUCUACUGUAUAUUACAUCGUUGGUUAAUAAGAAACUGAAAUUAAGUAACAAAAAACAGGAAAGCUGAAAGGAAAAAAAUCAAAGUAAAUCUCUCGUUACAUGAUUUGUAAAUUUAGAAGAAUAAUUGAUAAAUAAAAACCAUAAUGCCAUGGUGCCUUAAAUUUCUGAUGGGCCGAUCAUUGUUACUUUUAGGUCGGGAGUAUCCGACGAACCGAAGAUCGAUUGAUGGUGGCAUUCGAAUGAGUAUUGGACUAAGGUGUUUUGAAGGUGAGGUGUUGGUUGGUUUUUAUGGUUUUUUGCAGGGCUUUUGGUGUGAGCAGCGGACAAUAGGUGUUUGUAUUUUGGUUAAGUGGUCAUUCGGGAUGGAGUUUGAAUUUUGGGCUCAAGUUUUAGUUUAUGAUGUUGUGUGGGGGCUUGGCGCUGAUUUGUGAGUUGACAUUGGCUUUGGUGAUAGCCUCAGUUAGGUGGUGUAUUUAUUGGUGUUUUUGAUGUACAAAGUGUGUAAUUUUAUUUUUGGGUGUUCCGCCUAUAUAUGACGCUCUUUGGUGAUAGCCUUAGUGGUGUCUUUAUUGGUGUUUUUGAUGUACAAAGUGUGUGAUUUUUCUUUUGGGUGUUCCGCCUAUAUAUGGCGCUCUUUGCUAUGUUUGAUUCUGUUUUACCGAUUUCUAUUCAUCUUGUGCAAAGACUUGGUUAUCAAUAAAUUCUAUCUGGAAAAAAAUGUCAUGCAUCUGGAAGCGCGUGCACACACACACACAUAUAUAUAUAUAUAUAUAAGCACAUCUGAAGAAAAAAAAUGUCAUGCAUCUUAUGCAAAGACUUAGUGUAUGUUUUCAACAUAGUAUUUAAUACUGAUUGAAGAAAAAGAUAUAAAAUAAAUAAGGAUAUGUUGGUAAAGAAUUACUGAAUGUACUUGAAAAUACCAAAUAUGUCUUAUAAAAAGAGACAAAAAAUUUCUCAAAAGGAUCUUAUAUUUAGGGAUAGAUGUAGUAUUUAUGAAAUAGUCAACGUUUUUUUUUUUUUUGUUACAAGGGAUAAAGGAAAGAAACAAAGAAACUGAAAGACAUGAACAAAAGAAAAAAAAGAAAACAGUCUAAACAGACCUACAAAUAAUUAUCCCUAGGGAAGAAAGUUUCCCUAGCGUCAUUUCUAAGUAGAUCACUCAUUCCCUGAGGCGUAGACAAGUGGAUAAACAACGCAGAAUCUGAAGAAGCUCUUAACUUGGGCAAAAAAAUCAACGCAUUGAUUACCCUCCCGCAAAGUGUGAAAGAUUAAAGUGUUGUUGGAGGAUACCAUAUUCUUUAUAUCUUAAAUGAGAGCAGCAUAAAUAUAAUAUUUUAUGGUUGGACAGGUAAUAAGAUUUAAGCUGAGAAGGAAAUCCGUAUAAAACACAAAUUCAGGAGUAUCCAUUUCUCGAGCCAACAUAAACGUUUUUAAUUUAACACCAAGGGAAUAUCACUUAUCAAUAGGACAAGAGGAUGUAUUUAAAAAUCUCAUCUUUUAACAUAUUCCAAUGAUUUAGGCGAAAUGCGCGUGUUAUCAAUAAUUUUCAUUUUGGGACAAAUGCUCCAUGAGAUUUCCUUUGAAGUUUGAAUUCAACUUCAAAAGUCUUUGCCUCUUAACUCUUAAGGCAACUCCUCCGACCAAUCACAAUCGGCUCUAUAAAACAACAUAAAAAAAUUAAAAGAUAAAAAUAAAGUAGCACUAAAUAAUUUGAACCAUUAAAAUAAAGUAGCACUAAAUAAUAUAUAAAUAAAUAAAUAUCUAUGCACCCACGGGUUAUUCAAGUUCUAGGGUUAGUUGAUUCAAACACAAAAAGAAAAAGAGAAGAAAAAAAAGAAGAAUAAAAAAACACCACGUUUUUCUUUCUAUUUCCUUUCCCUAUUACAUUCACUCACAUGAUAUAUAUAUAUAUAUAUACCCAUCACCCUUCCUCUUCAAUUCAUCCCUUUGUGUCUCAAUAUUCAUCUCUCUCUCUCCAAAAAAAUCUCUCUAGCUCUCUCUUUCUGUUCUUCAAAUAAAAAUCCAACCAAACUAAAUUAAAACAUCAAUAUACAAAAUGGAAAACAACGUACCAAUAAUAACCAAGAGAGUAUGGAGUAUGAUACGUGUGGCUUUGUUCAUGUUAAGAAAAGGCAUAUCAAAGGGAAAACUAAUGAUGGACCUCAACAUGAUGGUUAAACACCGCGGCAAGCUCGCCGGAAAAGCCAUCACCAACCUCAUGUUUCAUCACCACCACGGUGGCUCCACCUCAAGCCGUCGUAACGACACACGCCUCUCUACCACAAGGGAGUAUGAGUUCAGCUGUAGCAACACCCCUAAAUACAAAUUUUCAUUUAACAACAAACGCCACCGCAACAACCACUUCUUCACGUGUGCUCACGCGCCUCUCACACAAGACGAUGACAUUGUUACCGUUAAUGCGGUUAAGGCUGUGUUAGAGAAAAUGGUAAACAAUAAUGAGGUGAUAGGUGAGGCUUCCCCGGUGCUCCCCGGUUCUCGACGAACUCCUAUGACCAGGCAGUUGAUGGUUAAUGACCUUGACACCGAUACGGAUGCCGAGGUAGACAAGGCUGCCGAAGCAUUUAUAAAGAGGUUUUACUUGCAGUUGAAGUAAGAGGAUGGAGUUUUGUUUCACAAUUUUGUUUCUUAACAUUUAAUUAAUGUUACUUUGUGAUUUGUGAUUUAUGAUUUAUGAACAUACAAAGCUGGUAUGCAGUUUUGGAUAGUACUAGCUUCAUGCAUGUCUUUGUGGAACCUUAGGAGAAGAUCAUGGACAUGCAUGAUAAUUUUGUUACUUUAUUUUUUUAUAUAUGUUGAGAGUUUAUUGGCAAAAUUAAUAUCCUCUGUGAAUUUGUCAAAAGAAAUAUGAAAGUUCCAUUUUUAGAGAGAUAUAUAAUCGCAAAAAAUCAAGAUGAAUAAAAUUAAGGUAUCUUGUGUUAAACAUAGUUUGGGUCGGGGACAUAUGUCCUCAAAAUGCUCCAUAGCCCAAACUUGAAAGAAGAAAAAGGUUAAGAACACAUCCAGGGCUGGUCCUAGGAUUUUUCGUGUCCUGGACGAAACAAUAAAUUGUACCCUUUUAAUUAUUUUAAUAUUUUUUUUCUUGCAUUUUUUGUUGAAAAAUAUUCGUUUAUAUAUAAUCAAAGUUAUAUAAAAAUAUAUUUUCAAUAGAAUUAACCAAAGCGAAUUAAAAAAAAAUAAUAUAUCUAUAUAAUACUAACUACUAAAUAAAAAUAAUAAUUUUGGUGCCUCUAAAAAAGUGGUGCCCAGGGCUACCGCCCCUCGUGCCCGCCCUCAGGGCCACCCCUGAACACAUCCAAAAUAUCUUAAAUGUCAUGCAAGCGGUAUAUCUUUAAUGUUAGUAACACAUCAGUCAAAAUAUCUUAAAUAUCAUACAAUAUGAUGAUAUUCUCACCAAUGGAAAAAAUGAAAGCUACUCGUGUCCCUAUGCCACCACUUUGUCAAUGUCGUGCAUGCAUGUGUUCUUAUUAACUUGACCAUAGUUGGUAUCAACAAGGUUUGGUGUUGGCUAGCAGCGGCGUGGUGGCUGGUAUUGGCAUAGUUGGUAGCCUUUUGGAGCUUUUUUGGUUUUUAGGAUCUUAUUGUGUUUCUUUAGUGCUUUUGGGAGUUUACUACUAAAACAAUGCUAGUUUUCUUGUCUUAGCCCAAUUCGAUAACAUUUUGUAUUCGCAUUUGUGUAUUAUCUUAAAAUUUUCCCUUUGAAAAAAAACAUAAAAUUAGUAUUAUAUAUGUAAAGAAAACAUAAAUAUGAUUAUAUUUUUAUAUACUACUCUGACCCAUAUCUUGACUGCAAUGUGCUUACAAAAAUUUGGCAUGAGUGACAUAUGAGAAGGAUCAACACCAAUUCUAUUAUUAGCGUCCUCUGGUGGCGGUUGUGGUGGGUUAUGUGGUGGAGAGCCUUCAGCCGAGUCUGUAACUUUUGUAUGUCCCUACGCAUGAAAUUGUGCAAUAUCUCCCUUCAUGUCUACCAACAUCGUCCACCAUAUCUAGAGCUACCAACAAAAAGAGACAAAUUAAUCAUUAAAGUAUUUCAUCAAACAUAUAGAGCUAAAAAAACAACAUUUACAUUUCUAAUUAGCAUUUGAAUACCACAUUUCGCUAGUUCAAACCCUAAAAUACAUUCACAUUCACAUCCUAACUACUUGAUCAACAACAACAAAGUUCUGAACUACAUUCACAUUCAAAUUCUAAAAUAAACCCUAUCUCGCAACAAACACAAAAUGAGAGAAAAUAAACAUUUGUUGGGUUUAAGAAGAAAUGUCAAAAUAAAUACAAUUUCUUCGACCCUAGGUUGAUGAAAAUCAAUUGUUGAACUAUAAGAAUGUUUGGAUAUAAAGAAUUCAAAGUAAACGCAUAUAAGAACAAGUCUUUUAUUCUUGUAUAAGGCUGAUGUAGAUUGGAACGUAACCCUUUGUCGUUAUAUAAAGGAGAAUUUUGGGAUAACGUGUAAGCAAUUCAAAGGUUACAUGGAGAACCUUUCAAAGUUUGUAAUCUUAUUAUGAUUUUUUUUGUUUGUUUUGCGGUUUAUGUUUUUUAUUCUUAGAAAAUAGGUCUUUCAUCUCUUAAAAAUUCAUUUUAUUUUAAUUACAUUUUUAUUAUAUAUCAGAAUGUUAGAAUAUUAGCGAGUAUGUAGCAAUAACAAUCUUUAAAAAAUUUAUAGAAUUAAAAAAAUCAUGAAAAAUUUAGUUAAAAAUCAUACUAAAAGAAUCUAAGAAAAUGCACCUAAGUUUAUAAAAGGGUUAAUGGUACUUUAUCCCCCUGUAAUAUAGGUUAUUUUUGGUUUUCCCCCCUGUAAAAUAUUUUUUUUUAUUUACCCCUUGUAAAUUUUUUUUUUGAAUACCCCCUAAUAGGUCAUAAAAAAACGACUUUAUUUUUUUUUUUGCAGAAUUUUUUCGUUUUUUUAUGACCUAUUAGGGGGUAUUCCAAAAAAAAAAAAAAUUACAGGUGAGUAAAUCAAAAAAAAUAUUUUACAGGAGGGAAAACUAAAAAUGACCUAUAUUACAAGGGGUUAAAGCACCAUUAAUCCUUUAUAAAAUGUACACAAUAUCACGUUAGAUUCAACUUCAAAGUCUUACCUCUUAACUCUUAAGGCAACACCCCUCACCAAUCAUACUCAGUUAAACUAAAUAAAAUAAAAUAAAAAAAAAAGCUAAAACUAAAGUAGCACUAAAUGAUAAAUAUCUAUGUACCCACACCACGGGUUAUUCAAAAGUUCUAGGGUAGGUUGAUUCAAUCACACAAAAAAAAAAACACGUUUUUCUUUCUCCUCUUUUUCCCCAUUACAUUCACAUAUAUAUACACCCAUUUCCCUUCCUCUUCAAUUCAUCCCUUUCUUUGUGUUUCAAUAUCUCUCUCCAAAAAAUAAAAUCUCUCUAGCUAUACCUCUUUCUUUCCUUCAAAUUAAAUUAAAACAUCAAUAUACAAAAUGGAAAACAACGUACCAAUAAUAACCAAGAGAGUAUGGAGUAUGAUACGUGUGGCUUUGUUCAUGUUAAGAAAAGGUAUAUCAAAGGGAAAACUAAUGAUGGACCUCAACAUGAUGGUCAAACGCCGUAGAAGCUUGCCGGAAAAGCCAUCACCAACCUCAUGUUUCAUCACCACCAUGGUGGCUCCACCUCAAGCCGCCGUAAUGACACACGCCUCUCUACCACAAGGGAGUAUGAGUUCAGCUGCAGCAACACACCCAACUACAAAUUUGCCCUAAACAACAAGCGUCAUAACUUCUUCACGUGUGCUCACGCGCCUCUCACAAAAGAAGACGACAUUGUAACCGUUAAUGCGGUUAAAGCUGUGUUGGAGAGCAUGGUAAACAAUAAUGAAGUAAUUGUCGA
rnacentral:lncRNA from 1 species